AAGUCGUAACAAGGUUUCCGUAGGUGAACCUGCGGAAGGAUCAUUAACACGUAUCCAACGUUAAACCCCCCCGUGAAUAUUAAGCGUGCUCUUACAUCCUUGCACAACAGCAAUCUCUGGUAAAUCAUGUCGAACGGUUUGAUUCAGAGACCUCUGGCUUGUGCGAUGACGGCGGAAGCUAAAGGUGUAAUCGAGCGCUAGGUUCAGUGGUUUGGUCUUCCCCUAUUGUUAACAGUUGUUCGUUUUUACGCCCAACCACGACAGAAGGGCCUACGCUGACAUGUGGUUUUAGGGAGGCUUGCGCCUGGUGAUUUGGACGCCGGCCCGUGUGUGCCUACAGCGUCGUUAAGCGACUUCCCCAUCACACUUCAAUGACACUGACAUUCAUUGAAGUGGUUUGAGGAUAUCUUGGUUCUC
rnacentral:misc_RNA from 1 species